rnacentral:RNase_P_RNA from 1 species
UAAGGAAUAACAGACAGUGCUACAGAAAUAGACUACCCCGCUUUGGUGGGGAAAAGCUGAAAAGGUGAGGUAAGAGCUCACCGGCUGUGAAAGUAAUUUUGCAGGAUGGGUAAACCUUCGGAGCUGAAAAAUCAAAUAAACCAAGAAUUGAGGGCUUCUCGUCCAAUCUUGGAGGGUAGAUUGUUAAUGGAUAGGGGCAACUUUAUUCUUAGAUAAAUGAUAGAACUCGACAGAAUCUGGCUUAUAGAUUUGCAUUUUAA